UCUUCCCUCUGUCUUCGUGCCUAAUACAUGCAAGUCGAGCGAACGGACGAGAAGCUUGCUUCUCUGAUGUUAGCGGCGGACGGGUGAGUAACACGUGGAUAACCUACCUAUAAGACUGGGAUAACUUCGGGAAACCGGAGCUAAUACCGGAUGAUAUUUUGAACCGCAUGGUUCAAAAGUGAAAGACGGUCUUGCUGUCACUUAUAGAUGGAUCCGCGCUGCAUUAGCUAGUUGGUAAGGUAACGGCUUACCAAGGCAACGAUGCAUAGCCGACCUGAGAGGGUGAUCGGCCACACUGGAACUGAGACACGGUCCAGACUCCUACGGGAGGCAGCAGUAGGGAAUCUUCCGCAAUGGGCGAAAGCCUGACGGAGCAACGCCGCGUGAGUGAUGAAGGUCUUCGGAUCGUAAAACUCUGUUAUUAGGGAAGAACAUAUGUGUAAGUAACUGUGCACAUCUUGACGGUACCUAAUCAGAAAGCCACGGCUAACUACGUG
rnacentral:rRNA from 1 species